CCAUAAUUAAGUGACUCUCUUUCUCUCUCUCUCUCUCUCUCUCUCUCUCUCUCUCUCAGAGUCAGACCAGAAAACGAAGUGACUCUCUCUUCCAGAGGUUUUAGGGUUCAAUACAAGGAUUUAAAAAGAAGAAUAGUUUAUCUGCCAAAUUAUAAUUUCCGCUACUUCUUUUUAUGAAGACUCUCUCUCUCACGACAGAGUCGUCAGUUGGAAGAGUGAAGGAGGAGGAAGAGGAGGACCUUGUGUCUGGGACAUUCACCUGGAGAAUCGACAACUUCUCCACGCUGAACAAGCAAAAGCAUUAUUCUGAUGUUUUCGUCGUUGGUGGCUAUAAAUGGCGGAUCCUUAUAUUUCCCAAGGGGAACAACGUAGAUUACUUGUCCGUGUAUUUGGAUGUUGCAGACGCUUCAACAUUGCCAUCUGGGUCGACCAGAUAUGCCAAGUUCAGGCUCACCCUGGUUAAUCAAGUUGAUAGCAAGAAGUCAAUCACAAAGAAUACAGAACAUGAGUUUGUGGCAAAUGACAAUGACUGGGGCUUUACAUCAUUCAUUCUUCUAAGUGAGCUUUGUGAUCAUGAUAAAGGGUAUCCUGUCAAUGAUUUCUGUGUUGUUGAAGCCGAAGUUUCAGUUCGUAAUGGCAUUAAGAUUUUAGAAGACCAAGAAACUGGGGAGCUUAUCGAUUUUAGGGGCUUAGGACGAGUAGAGAAAACUUUUGUUCCAUUUCUAGAGGAAGUUUGUUCAUCGUAUCCUUCCUUGCUCGAGUGCCAUAAGAAGAGAAGUCGUACGUUUAUUCAAUGUGCAUUCACAGCUUUGGGCCGACUCUUGUGUUUUCUGAAGACUACAAAGGCCAAGGAUAUGACCCGUGAUGCUUGUAAACGCCUUCAACUGUUAUGGGAGGAGCUUGAGACCUUCAAAUUUGACUUGGUUUGGCUGGAGCCUCAUGUUCAAUCGGUUUUGGUCAUGAAGAAAAGGGCAGGAAGAGUUGAUAGACUGAGAGAAGAUGUGGAAAUUUUGGAGAAUGAAAUAAAGAGGCGAAGGAAUGUCCUCGCUGCUGCGGAAGUUGAUCUUGAGGCAGCGAAAAGAGACUUGGCAAAGGCAGACGAAGAGUUCAAGAAGAUAGAUAUGGAUACUGAGCUAGGCUAUCCAUUAACUUAAUUUACUGUACAAGUCAGGGCCAGUGAACGUAAGAUAUUGAAGAGCACCAACCAACCUACGAUACAUGGUAGAAGAAUGAAGAAUGAGAAAGGAGCUUGUAUCCGGGACAUU